GCCAGGCUAACUCUGUGCCAGCAGCCGCGGUAAUACAGAGGGUGCAAGCGUUAAUCGGAUUUACUGGGCGUAACAGCGCGCGUAGGCGGCUAAUUAAGUCAAAUGUGAAAUCCCCGAGCUUAACUUGGGAAUUGCAUUCGAUACUGGUUAGCUAGAGUGUGGGAGAGGAUGGUAGAAUUCCAGGUGUAGCGGUGAAAUGCGUAGAGAUCUGGAGGAAUACCGAUGGCGAAGGCAGCCAUCUGGCCUAACACUGACGCUGAGGUGCGAAAGCAUGGGGAGCAAACAGGAUUAGAUACCCUGGUAGUCCAUGCCGUAAACGAUGUCUACUAGCCGUUGGGGCCUUUGAGGCUUUAGUGGCGCAGCUAACGCGAUAAGUAGACCGCCUGGGGAGUACGGUCGCAAGACUAAAACUCAAAUGAAUUGACGGGGGCCCGCACAAGCGGUGGAGCAUGUGGUUUAAUUCGAUGCAACGCGAAGAACCUUACCUGGCCUUGACAUAGUAAGAACUUUCCAGAGAUGGAUUGGUGCCUUCGGGAACUUACAUACAGGUGCUGCAUGGCUGUCGUCAGCUCGUGUCGUGAGAUGUUGGGGUAA
rnacentral:rRNA from 1 species